rnacentral:rRNA from 1 species
AUUGAGCGCUGGCGGAAUGCUUUACACAUGCAAGUCGAACGGCAGCACGGACUUCGGUCUGGUGGCGAGUGGCGAACGGGUGAGUAAUGUAUCGGAACGUGCCCAGUCGUGGGGGAUAACGUAGUGAAAAUUACGCUAAUACCGCAUACGAUCUAUGGAUGAAAGCGGGGGAUCGCAAGACCUCGCGCGAUUGGAGCGGCCGAUAUCAGAUUAGGUAGUUGGUGGGGUAAAGGCCCACCAAGCCAACGAUCUGUAGCUGGUCUGAUAGGACGACCAGCCACACUGGAACUGAGACACGGUCCAGACUCCUACGGGAGGCAGCAGUGGGGAAUUUUGGACAAUGGGCGAAAGCCUGAUCCAGCCAUUCCGCGUGCAGGAUGAAGGCCCUCGGGUUGUAAACUGCUUUUGUACAGAACGAAAAGGUUUCUACUAAUACUAGGAGCUCAUGACGGUACUGUAAGAAUAAGCACCGGCUAACUACGUGCCAGCCGCCGCAGUAA